rnacentral:sRNA from 1 species
GCGCAGCGGAUCAUUGAUGCGUUGCCGGAAUCGGCGGUCCUGUUCCUCCUCGCUUACAUCGAGGAAAUAUUUAAGCA